AUACGGAGGGUGCAAGCGUUAUUCGGAAUCACUGGGCGUAAAGGACGCGUAGGCGGGUUGGCAAGUCAGAUGUGAAAUCCUACAGCUUAACUGUAGAACUGCAUUUGAAACUGCUAGCCUAGAGUAUGGGAGGGGGAGAUGGAAUUAGUGGUGUAGGGGUAAAAUCCGUAGAUAUCACUAGGAAUACCGAAAGCGAAGGCGAUCUCCUGGAACAUAACUGACGCUAAGGCGUGAAAGCGUGGGGAGCAAACAGGAUUAGAUACCCCAGUAGUCC
rnacentral:rRNA from 1 species